rnacentral:lncRNA from 1 species
AGGGCGAUAGUGAAACGGAGGACGAAGAGGAGAGUGAUUACGAGCAGGAGGAUGAUGAAGGGCCGGCUGAGACUACCGUAGCAGCAGCUGGGUCAAGAUACCUUGCAGCUGGUGACAGCGACAGUGAUGAAUCAGAUGGACAGAAGCGAGUUGUCCGGUCGGCAAAGGAUAAACGCUUUGAGGAAUUGUCUGCUACCGUUGAUCAGAUGAAGAAUGCUAUGAAGAUUAAUGACUGGGUCAGCUUGCAGGAGAGCUUUGAUAAGAUCAAUAAGCAGCUGGAGAAGGUCAUGCGCAUUACAGAAUCGGUUAAAGCACCAAAUCUCUAUAUCAAAGCUCUAGUGAUGCUGGAGGAUUUCUUGAGUCAGGCCUUGGCCAAUAAGGAGGCAAAGAAGAAGAUGAGUAGUAGUAAUGCUAAAGCCUUGAAUUCGAUGAAACAGAAACUGAAAAAGAAUAACAAGCAGUAUGAGGAGUUGAUUAACAAGUACAGGGAAAAUCCUCCCGAGAGUGAGGAUGAGGCUGGUGAUGAUGAAGAGUCAGAAGAGGAAGAAGAGGAUGAUGAAGAGGAGUUUGAGGAGGACCCAACAAAGAUUGCAGCUGCGUCUGAUGAGGAAGAUGACGAAGAUGAAAGUCGGGAUGAGACAGCGGAAAGCGGUACUGGGUGGGAGAAGAUGCUGAGCAAGAAAGAAAAACUUUUGGAUAAACAGUUCAAGGAUCCAAGUCAAAUCACGUGGGAGACAGUCAACAAGAAGUUCAAGGAAAUUGUUGCCGCUAGGGGUAGAAAGGGGACUGGAAAGAUUGAAUUGGUUGAACAGCUCACCUUCUUGACCAAGGUGGCCAAGACUCCAGCACAAAAGCUUGAAAUUCUGUUUAGUGUUGUGUCUGCCCAGUUUGACGUUAAUCCAAGUCUCAGUGGACACAUGCCUAUAAAUGUUUGGAAAAAGUGCGUGCAGAAUAUGCUUACCAUCCUCGAUGUUUUGACCCAAUACCCAAACAUUGUGGUUGAUGACAUGGUGGAACCAGAUGAAAAUGAGACCCAGAAAGGAGCAGACCACUCGGGGACGAUAAGGAUCUGGGGAAACUUGGUUGCCUUUGUUGAAAGGAUAGAUGUAGAGUUUUUCAAGAGCUUGCAGGUAAUUGAUCCACAUACCCGUGAGUAUGUUGAGAGGCUGAGGGAUGAGCCGUUAUUUUUGGUUCUUGCUCAAAAUGUCCAACAUUAUUUAGAACGGGCAGGAGACUACAAGGGUGCUGCGAAAGUGGCUCUCAAACAGGUUGAAUUCAUUUAUUAUAAACCACAAGGAGUGUAUGAUGCUAUGAGGAAGUUGGCUGAGCUUACGGAAGGAGAAGGUGAGGCAGAGUCUAUAGAAGAAAACAAAGUGGUUGAGGAGAGUAGAGGUCCAACUGCAUUUGUUGCAACUCCAGAGCUUGUGCCCAGGAAACCUGCUUUUGAAGAGAACAGCAGGACAUUGAUGGACAGUCUCGUUUCUCUCAUAUAUAAAUAUGGGGAUGAACGCACCAAGGCCCGUGCAAUGCUCUGUGAUAUAUACCACCAUGCUAUCUUGGAUGAGUUUUCAACAUCCCGUGACUUGUUAUUGAUGAGUCACUUGCAAGAUAAUAUCCAGCACAUGGACAUUUCAACUCAGAUACUUUUCAACAGAGCCAUGGCUCAGCUCGGUCUCUGUGCAUUCAGGGCGGCACUUGUUGCUGAAGCACAUGGCUGCUUGGCUGAACUCUAUUCUGCCGGCAGGGUGAAGGAGUUACUCGCGCAAGGUGUCUCCCAAAGUCGUUAUCAUGAGAAGACCCCAGAACAGG